UGUCGGAGCGAGCCUGCUCGCGAUGGCGUCCUUCAAGUCAGCUCAGUAUCGACUGACUUACCGCUAUCGCGAGCAGGCUCGCUCCCACA
rnacentral:misc_RNA from 1 species